AGACAAAGGGAGUGGGAGGAAGGCGAUGGAGGCGAUCCUAAAGCAGGAUUGUGCUGUUCUCCUGCCCACCGGUGUAACUCCAAGCGCCACGCUGCAGGAACACUGCAGCAAGAAGAACCCAUUACCCAACUGAUGGAUGUUGCUAAACGUUUGCAGGUACACAAAGUGCCAUGCACACAUCACCUGGCCGAUAAGCAAGGUUGCAACCCUGGAAUUCCCAGAAGAGCAGGACAGAAAUGACAUGAGCCCAGUAGGUUAAAGGUGUCUUCAGACACCUUUGGGUUGGAGGCUGCCGUUAUCUUUGUUCCUGCAGUGCCCUGCACAAGAGCGUUUCUGUGUGCUAGCAAUAACGGUGCACUCUGCUUACACCUCUUCAGUCCCUGCAGCCUCCUGCAUGGCAUAUUUGCUGUUGUUUGAAACACGGACACUUUGAGUCCUGUAACAUCUAACCUAGCAAACAGUUCUGUUGGUUUUGGCUGCUUUGCAUGAGUCACAGAUAGGAUGGAGGACGUGAGGAACAGUCACUGGCUGAACUUUCAAGCAGCCCUGCUGGCAAUAACGUGAGAUCCAGUGAGAAACACGAGCCAUCUGAUUGCAGAUCCACAACACAACUCCAGUGCCAAUCUCACAGCAUAAGCAGCAGCGCUAACUACUUGACCUUAGGCAGACUGCCCUUUCUUGCGUACGCAGAGGAUCUCUUCCCUCAGAGCAAGGUUAUCCAGGAUUGGUAAAGCCACCCAUUUCUAAACGUGACUGACUCCACGCCAGAUUCCAAACGCAGAGCACGUGCUGAACUCCUGUGCAGAACUCAGAGCUCACCUGCUCCGAGGACACAUUCAUAUCCAGCAACGAGGAAUGCAGAAACAAAGGAGC